UCCUGAUUGGCUCAGGUGGUCAGAGUAUGGUGUUAAUAACACCAAAGUGGUGGGUUUGAUUUCCAUACCAGCCA